rnacentral:misc_RNA from 1 species
ACUGGGAACAGUCGUAAGUUUAUUUAACCUACUUCAGUUGGCCAUUUUUUUUCGUUUCAAAGUCGAAAAAUUGUUCGUGAACUUGGGAAAGAGUUCCUGUAUUUCGGUAUGUUUUUCUUUUAUUAAAAUAAAAUAAAAUUGCUAUUGUGUACAAGUAAAGGUCGGCUACAAGUGCCCCUUCCUCCUCGCAUUGUUUGAUUUGCUCCGUUACAGUUCUUAGCUUCCAGGCUAAAUGUGGUAAAGGUCGAAAAUGAACCCCAACAGACCGUUGAGUUAUUUCUAAACGCGCAAACAACGAAAACUUAUAAAAUAGGGCAAAAAAAAAAAAGGUUAUAAUUGUGGAUGUGUUUAGUUCAGAACACAGAAGAUGGUCACUGAAAUUACAGCCGGUUCUUUCUCUUUCCGUAUUUUGUGGUUUGCUUAGAUCUCAAUGGGCUUUUCUUUUCAUCCGCAUUGUUCCCCCAUUCGACUCGGGAGUCUGUACAAAAAAGCUGCUCUGUUCUUUCGUUAGACCAUCCUCUUAUUUGCUAUUAUUUUAUUUUAUUUUCUUUGAGAAAAUUUGCUAUGCGUUCAGGAUUUCUAAAGGGCGCCGACUGAAUUCAUUUGUUUAUUUACUGCAAUUUUAUUUUUGACCUUGACGUUAUUCUGAAGAAGGAUUGUAGUAAAAAUGCAGACGAAAUUCGAUUAAAGUUGGCCAUAAAAAGACAAUAAGAUGGGGCUCAAUUACAAUCGUUGCGCUUUUGUAAGACGUCGAUUCGACCGUCAAGGAACAUUUCUUUCUUUCAGUGCAACAUAACAAUUGGUGGCAUAAAGCAUUCACAGAUAACAAGGGUUGAGAAUAGAGGAGGUUUAACGGGGGGGGACGUCGGUCUCUGUGAGCCAUUGGUAACGCGUGUGUCGCCUGCCAGGCUGUCACAGCAACGCGGCAAUAACGGGGAGGGGAAAUUUAUUGCCGACCACCCUGCCGACUCAGUUCCCGGUUUUAUUGCAUAAGACGCGGUAUAGACUUGUCCGAAAAGGGUGAGAAGAAACACCUGUAUAUUGGAAAUGUAUUUCAAAAUGAUCACCUGUUGGAUUCAUGGAACUCUUGCUGGAAGCCACAAUGACUUAAACAUCAUGGGAGUCUGAUGUGUGUAUGUAAAAUGACGAGAUAAAAAGCUGAACAAAUUUAUUUUCAUACUUUAUUUCAGUUCUACUAAAACAAUAAUACAAGUUUCGCUCUUACUUUUACAAUUGCUGCAAGAGCCAGAAGUGAUUCCAAUCGAUUGCUGUACGCAGCCAUCUGGAACAAUUUGUGAAACGUUCUACAACUCACUCGAAAUUGAUUGCAACGUAUGCAGGUUUGCUGUACCACCUACCGGUUACAGGAUGUAUCCGUCUUUUUGCAUUCAUAGAAACCGUAGACUCGAUAUCCUAAUCCAAUUGAGUUCAACAAGAACACUGAAGAUCUAUACGCAAUUGGUUGACCACUCCAAGGGGAUCCACGGUCAACCGUCUGAUCAAGUGAUCAAUGACUGAGCCUCUUGUUUGCAUUGGAUCUCAUUCGUCACGUUUCUGUCACUAUCUGGUGAAGACAAGAGGAUCCCAUCAAUAUUCUCAGCUGGACGUGUGGGACGGAAAGAAAGUGUGGAAAGGAAAUAUUGGAGAAGGUUUCUUAUAUACUAUCCCUUGAAACUGACCAUUUGAUUUCUGUUUGUAACGUCAGUUUCCAUUUCACUUGGAGGAAGAAGAUGGAAGCCAUUCCGACGUGCCAAGUAUUUUGCCUUAUUAAUUAUGCAAAACUUUCCAGGAAUGCACAUUUCAUUGAUCCCUACACUUUUUUUUUUUUACCGAUUGCAAUUGUUUUCGCUUGUCAUUCAGAAUCUUUCAACUUUUCAUUGUGACCGUUCGAUGGAACCAAUGGAGAAUUCCAGUCAAACCUCCCGCGGAGAAUAUUGUUUUUAGCCUCUUGUUUGUUUAGCUCGAUUUUUAUUCAUGGGCCAAAGAAAAGGAACGUACGUGAUCCCCGCUGAGAGGCUACCGAAUCCCGAAACUUAAACAAAUAGAAUUUACACAGCGGGGACACUGUUUCCACUCAAUCUGUCCAUAGCUCCAAACGUAAACAAAAGCUAUGCGCAACGCUAGAAAUCCUUCAACAUCAUUCGGCUAUGACGGAUUAUUACCACCUGUUGUCCAGACCUUCUCCAGUAGCAAAAUUGAGGAAAAAUCGAAAUCAUAAGGUGAUGACUUUCCCACCGUUAUUUUCUUAAAUUCAUCCUAGUCGAUUAUCAGAACAUUUGGCUGAAAACGGAAUUGAACUUCAUUUAAGUUCAACGCGUGCUACUUUGUAAUUUUGUUAUAUUCUCCUUUCUAUAAUUAGAAACGAUUUUUCCUAUUACUUCCGUCGUAGACGCGUGAAAACGCACUUCGUGUGCGGUGAGCGUGUGCUCGGCGCCAAGCGGAAGCUGCAGAAUUCGAAACUAAAAGCUCCUGAGGGCCUUUCCACCUCUAAUUAGGAGAUUGGACGUUCUGUGACGUAAGUUUGUGUUUUGUUGUCCACAUGGAAGUAUCCCACUGUGCAAUCCUAUCAACUCCAAACAAAGAAUAAAGCAGGUCGCCCGCCGAGUCAAACACCAAUUGGACACAUUUUGCCACGAUUUUCUUUUUGUCUGCACAAAAAUGUAUACCCACGCCCACCCCUCCAUGCCUGAAUUUUUGGUUCAUUUUACUUUAUGACCUCUAAUUUUUUGUUUUUUUGUUCUUUCUACCUCCUUUUCCCCCAUGUGAUGACGUUUUACCUCGAAAGGAACAUUUCUCUGUACUUGAGUUGUGUGGUCAAAACAAUUUUGUUUGGGAUCUAUUUAACUCCAUGCAAUUUUGUGGUCUGGCAACCUUUACCUAAUGAUCCUUGAUGCAGUCGAGAAUGUGUUGAAGCCGCUGGUUUUCUCGCUGCAUUCAGGGGACCCAACGAUCAAUGAAACACUGGACGUUGCAGUGCUAGAACUAAAGAAACAAAUUUCAGUGUUACUGAAUGAAAAAAAAAAGGCAAUUCUAAACAACAAAGGGGAGAAUUUUUCAUUAAAAAGUACCCCCUACUUCAGUGGCUAAAAUUACGUAUCCCCUUGGUCCACCUCCCAUGUUGUCGUAUGUCACUUUCGCUAUCUAAAAUUUUCCAAACUUUAUUGCUGUCAACAUGUGUUUGAUGUGAUUACUUGGCUACUGUAACAGCGUUGUCAUCGACCGUUGGACAGUGACACUUGACCACCAUUUUGAUUUUCGACGGACCUUAUGUUGGAGUGACGAUGGUGGACAAGAGAAUGAAAGUGCCAGUUGACCGGUUGUUAAUUGGGAUCGCACAGCCUGCCUCAGUACAAUGGGAGCAUAUUUUCCAGCCGGCACUUCCGGCAAGACUCUUAAAGUAUGCAGGGACCAUUAAGAAUCUUCACUAGUGACACUACCCACUUAGGAACAACGUGAUGCUCGACGAUUCCCGUCAACUUAGUCUCAUCGAAAAGCUUCGUGUAAGUUGACGGGCUGGUGGAUGUGCAGCUGGUAACAAACAUCCCCUCUUCUAUCCUGGAACACAAACAACGAGUAUUACAUCGACGCUGAAAACCAAUUUUGCCAGGAGCAGCCUCCUCCACCGUCACAUUGUCUUGGACAAAAAAGGAGCAAUAAUCUACUCGGUCCAAUACAAAGUCGAUGAUUACCGGACAACCUGCAAAGCCAACAGUAGUCCGCUAAAGCCAGCUGGAUAAUUCGGAAAAAUAACGGUUCAUGAGAACAAUAAGGGGGAAAAAGCGGCUUGAAAAUGAUUCAGUUAUGAUUGUCGGCUUUCGUAAGGCGGAUCGUUUCGGUAGUCAUUCUUUUUUUAAAAACCCGAAUGAAAAUGUAUCGAAAGAACAGAGUGUAAUAAAAAACAAAAACAAGACAAUACAGAAGCAAAAAGGCGAACAAGUAA